rnacentral:rRNA from 1 species
CCUACGGGGGGCAGCAGUGGGGAAUAUUGGACAAUGGGGGGAACCCUGAUCCAGCCAUGCCGCGUGUGUGAAGAAGGCCCUCGGGUUGUAAAGCACUUUCAGUGAGGAAGAACGCCUGGUGGUUAAUACCCAUCAGGAAAGACAUCACUCACAGAAGAAGCACCGGCUAACUCCGUGCCAGCAGCCGCGGUAAUACGGAGGGUGCGAGCGUUAAUCGGAAUUACUGGGCGUAAAGCGCGCGUAGGUGGCUUGAUAAGCCGGUUGUGAAAGCCCCGGGCUCAACCUGGGAACGGCAUCCGGAACUGUCCAGCUAGAGUGCAGGAGAGGAAGGUAGAAUUCCCGGUGUAGCGGUGAAAUGCGUAGAGAUCGGGAGGAAUACCAGUGGCGAAGGCGGCCUUCUGGACUGACACUGACACUGAGGUGCGAAAGCGUGGGGAGCAAACAGGAUUAGAUACCCUAGUAGUC